UAUCGCGGGACAUGGUGGCGUGUGGACGUACGUUCCGGCGCAGCGUAUCCCUCAGUUGACUGUACAGUGGUAGCGGGUCCGCGCGUGUCUCGAGGCUGAAUGAGACCGAUGCAUACUAGAUGAGAAUAGGUCUAUAUCUAUGCUCACCAACUGAACAAAAGUGAAAAUAAACUAGAAUGGAAAAUCGUUGUGAUCGUUAGUGAAAUGUGAUAUACAUAAAAGAAGAGGAAGUGAGAGAUAAAGAGAAAAGAAGAAAGAGAGAAAAAAUUGAUAAUCUAUAUGCAUGUAAAAAUAUGAUGACGCUAUUUCUCAGAAUUGAAAACUGCGUCGUGGAAAAUUACACGAGCUGACCAGAGCAUUCAGACAGUGCCGCCGUCCGAAUCCUCAGCCGAGGUGAAUAGCCAGACGACUAGAUGGAUAGGCAGGAGACCCCAGCUGCCUCCAGUGGGUCCAAAGGUUGCCUUCCGCUGCAGCAUCUGGUACUAUCAAUGUAAGUUUCUGUUUUAUUACAGUUGACAAAAAUGUAGUUUUUAAUAUUUAGUUCUAAGGCCUCUUUGGUGUUUUUAGAAGUAGGUUCCAAAUUU